rnacentral:rRNA from 1 species
UACGGGGGAAGCAAGCGUUGUUCGGAUUUACUGGGCGUAAAGGGCGCGUAGGCGGUCGUGACAAGUCACUUGUGAAAUCUCCGGGCUUAACUCGGAACGGUCAAGUGAUACUGUCGGACUAGAGUACAGAAGGGGCAACUGGAAUUCUCGGUGUAGCGGUGAAAUGCGUAGAUAUCGAGAGGAACACCUGCGGCGAAGGCGGGUUGCUGGGCUGAUACUGACGCUGAGACGCGAAAGCCAGGGGAGCGAACGGG